UAGGGAAUUUUCGUCAAUGGGGGGAACCCUGAACGAGCAAUGCCGCGUGUGUGAAGAAGGUCUUCGGAUCGUAAAGCACUGUUGUAAGUGAAGAAUGCCAUAUAGAGGAAAUGCUAUGUGGGUGACGGUAGCUUACCAGAAAGCCACGGCUAACUACGUGCCAGCAGCCGCGGUAAUACGUAGGUGGCAAAGCGUUAUCCGGAAUCAUUGGGCGUAAAGGGUGCGUAGGUGGCACGAUAAGUCUGAAGUAAAAGGCAACAGCUCAACUGUUGUAUGCUUUGGAAACUGUCGAGCUAGAGUGCAGAAGAGGGCGAUGGAAUUCCAUGUGUAGCGGUGGAAUGCGUAGAUAUUAGGAGGAACACCAGUGGCGAAGGCGGCUUACUGGACGGUAACUGACGUUGAGGCUCGAAAGCGUGGGGGAGCAAACAGGAUUAGAUACC
rnacentral:rRNA from 1 species